UACGUAGGGGCCGAGCGUUGUCCGGAGUUAUUGGGCGUAAAGCGCGCGCAGGCGGCUUCGCGCGUCCGACGUGAAAGCCCCCGGCUCAACCGGGGAGGGUCGUUGGGUACGGCGGAGCUUGAGGGCGGUAGAGGUUGGUGGAAUUCCCGGUGUAGUGGUGAAAUGCGUAGAUAUCAGGAGGAACACCAACAGCGAAGGCAGAUCUCUGGGACGUAACUGACGCUGAGACGCGAAAGCGUGGGGAGCAAACAGG
rnacentral:rRNA from 1 species